rnacentral:rRNA from 1 species
UACGUAGGCAGCGAGCGUUGUUCGGAGUUACUGGGCGUAAAGAGUGCGUAGGCGGUUUUCUAAGUUUGGUGUGAAAUCUCCCGGCUUAACUGGGAGGGUGCGCCGAAAACUGGAAGGCUUGAGUAUGGGAGAGGUAAGCGGAAUUCCUGGUGUAGCGGUGAAAUGCGUAGAUAUCAGGAGGAAUACCAGUGGCGAAGGCGGCUGCCUGGCCUGUUCUUGACGCUGAGGCGCGAAAGCUGGGGGAGCAAACGGG